CGUUGAUUGUGGACAUUUUGAUUUGAAUUCUUAAUCUGUUAAGAUGAAGCUAAAAACGCACGUAUUUUUUCAUUUUUGUUUUCGUUCACCUGUGUUCAGCAACCGGCUUAUACAAGACUUGUUCUUUCUUAUCCUCAGUACAUUCCUCUUAAAGAAAACCGAUUUACCUUCUCGACACUACGUUUUCAUGGAGAAACUUUGUAUAUAUAUAAAUUUGCUAAAGAUUUAUUAAUUGAAAUAAACUGAGUUCUAUUCAUACACAAUCUGGUUAUAAACUAAUGGCAAUUAAGAUAAUAGUAAAAAUAAGAGCAAAGACCCACUUCAGUCAUGAAUGACCAUGGGAUUGUACCUAGAAAGUUCCCCUCCGAGGCACAAAUCUGAGCAUAGUUAUCUAUGGAACACCAGCAGUCGCCCAUGCACAUCAGCCUUCCCUCUCCACGCCACCGAUGUUGUCUAAGGGAGGGCAAAGGUCGAUAAAGCUUGGUACCAGUGGCGCCGCAACACAUAUCUACAGCAGAGUGGACUGGAGCAACGUGAAAUAAACAUUUUGCACACGAACACAACACAGAGCCCGGUUCGGGAAUCGAACUCACUACCUCAUGAUUGUGACCCCCGAUGCUCUAACCACUGAGCACCUAUAUAUAGUAGUAUAUAUUCAGAGAUAAAUAUUGUAAUGUUAAAAUA
rnacentral:lncRNA from 1 species